AAUUAUGACAAAAAAUAGACUGUUAAUAGAAUCUCGAGAAGCUAAAAAGCAGUCAGACCCUGAUAUAACAUUGACUCAUAGCGAACAUAACUUGUACGACUGGAAAGCCGUCAUCAGAGGGCCAAAGGAUUCACCAUAUGAAGGAGGAACUUGGAAACUUAGUAUAAAAUGUAAAAGUACUUACCCGAUAGACCCACCUUUAAUAACAUUUAUAACGAAGUUUUUUUCAUCCAAACGUAAAUUUUCAAACAGGUAUUAUUAUAUACAAAUCGUAUAUAAAAUAAACAUUUUUUUAUUUUCACAAGCAUUUACAUAAGUGUUUGUGUAAUUACAUAUACAUAUAUACAAAUAU
rnacentral:lncRNA from 1 species